rnacentral:rRNA from 1 species
AUUGAACGCUGGCGGCAUGCCUUACACAUGCAAGUCGAACGGUAACGGGCCUUCGGGUGCCGACGAGUGGCGAACGGGUGAGUAAUGUAUCGGAACGUACCUUUCAGUGGGGGAUAACGUAGCGAAAGUUACGCUAAUACCGCAUAUUCUGUGAGCAGGAAAGCAGGGGAUCGCAAGACCUUGCGCUGAUUGAGCGGCCGAUAUCAGAUUAGCUAGUUGGUGAGGUAAAGGCUCACCAAGGCGACGAUCUGUAGCGGGUCUGAGAGGAUGAUCCGCCACACUGGAACUGAGACACGGUCCAGACUCCUACGGGAGGCAGCAGUGGGGAAUUUUGGGCAAUGGGGGCAACCCUGAUCCAGCCAUGCCGCGUGAGUGAAGAAGGCCUUCGGGUUGUAAAGCUCUUUCGGCCGGGAAGAAAUCGUAUCAGCUAAUACCUGGUGCGGAUGACGGUACCGGCAUAAGAAGCACCGGCUAACUACGUGCCAGCCGCCGCCGUAA